rnacentral:rRNA from 1 species
UCAAAGAUUAAGCCAUGCAUGUGUCAGUACAAACUAAACUAAAGUGAAACCGCGAAUGGCUCAUUAAAUCAGCUAUGAUUCCUUGGAUCUGUACACCCAGUUUCCUUGGAUAACUGUGGUAAUUCUAGAGCUAAUACAUGCACAUAUAGUCCCUAACCUUACGGGAAGGGCGCUUUUAUUAGUAUCAAAACUUGUCGGGCUUCGGUCUGUAAACCCACUAGUGAUGACUCUGGAUAACUUUUAGCUGAGCGCACGGUCUUUGCACUGGCGCCGCUUCUUUCAAGUGUCUGCCUUAUCAGCUUUCGAUUGUAGGUCAUGUGCCUACAAUGGCUAUAACGGGUAACGGGGAAUCAGGGUUCGAUUCCGGAGAGGGAGCCUGAGAAACGGCUACCACAUCUAAGGAAGGCAGCAGGCACGCAAAUUACCCACUCCCGGCACGGGGAGGUAGUGACGAAAAAUAACGAUGCGAGACUCAUCCGAGGCCUCGCAAUCGGAAUGAGUACACUUUAAAUCCUUUAACGAGGAUCAAUUGGAGGGCAAGUCUGGUGCCAGCAGCCGCGGUAAUUCCAGCUCCAAUAGCGUAUAUUAAAGUUGUUGCGGUNNNNNNNNNNNNNNNNNNNNNNNNGGAGUGGAGCCUGCGGCUUAAUUUGACUCAACACGGGAAACCUCACCAGGCCCAGACACUGGAAGGAUUGACAGAUUGAGAGCUCUUUCUCGAUUCAGUGGGUGGUGGUGCAUGGCCGUUCUUAGUUGGUGGAGCGAUUUGUCUGGUUAAUUCCGAUAACGAACGAGACUCUGGCCUAUUAACUAGUCGACGGAUUUCCAUUAAUUGGUGUCCAGUUCGCAACUUCUUCUUAGAGGGAUAAGCGGUAGUCCUAGCCGCACGAGAUUGAGCAAUAACAGGUCUGUGAUGCCCUUAGAUGUUCUGGGCCGCACGCGCGCUACACUGAAGGGAUCAGAGUGUUUUCCCCCUCCGAGAGGAAGGGGGUAACCCGAUGAAACCCCUUCAUGAUAGGGAUUGGGGCUUGCAAUUGUUUCCCAUGAACGAGGAAUUCCCAGUAAGCGCAAGUCAUCAGCUUGCGUUGAUUACGUCCCUGCCCUUUGUACACACCGCCCGUCGCUACUACCGAUUGAAUGAUUUAGUGAGGCCUUCGGACUGUCGCUCUUGGAUAUUUCAGGCUGCGGAUACCUGUAUUGGGUAUCGUUAGUCAGUCAGUGCCUCCUAGAGCUGACGGAAAGAUGUCCAAACUUGAUCAUUUAGAGGAAGUAAAAGUCGUAACAAGGUUUCC